CGUACUAGUACAGCGCGUCUCGCUCGUUGACGUGUUUACGUGAGGGUCGUUCAUCGCUCACAUUAGCGAGUAGCUUUGUUAUCUGGAGAAUAUGUGGGACAGAACCAGAUAGUCGUCGUCAUUCAAGUGUGCUCACUUUAAACCUGCUUUGUGUCGUUAUUUCUCACAUCUGCAGCCUGGAUUAAAAUGACCGAUUUGACAGAUUCCCUGGUGAAAGAGGGCUGGUACCUCAGCGAUGAAGGCAUAGCAGAGCUGAAAGGAUCAGCUGAGACAGUAACGCACAGUGACAUUAUUCGUAUUGCGCUUGAUAGCGAUCUUCGGCCCAUCGGGAGAAAAUUUCUCCCGUCUGACAUCAACAGUGGCAGAACUGAGAAGUUGGAGGGUCCGUGUGUUCUCCAGGUGCAGAAGGUGAGAAACGUCUCGGCUCCAAAAGACCAUGAAGAGUCCCAGGGCGCACCGCGAAUGCUGCGCCUACAGAUGACAGAUGGUCACACCACCUGCAUCGGAUUGGAGUUUAAACAUCUGUCUAAGAUCAGUCUUAAUACUCCCCCCGGAACAAAAGUGAAGCUUCUCGGGACAGUCCAGGUCAAAAAUGGGUUUCUGAUACUCGACGACGCUAAAAUCUCCGUCCUCGGAGGCGAGGUGGAUCACAUGGUGGAGAGAUGGGCACUACAAAGGAGUCUGGCCAAACACAGCAGGAGUAACAUUGGAGCAGAAGGUGGACCCCCUCCGUUUGUGCCAUUUGGUCAGAAGUGUGCCAGGAAGGAUGAAGUGGACAGCAGAGACCUGGACCAGAGGAAGACCCUUCAGAUACACGCUGUGGUCAAAAGUGCCGAUGAGAAUGACGAGUUUGAAAAGCAGCGGACGGCUGCUAUCGCAGAAAUCGCCAAGACUAAAGAGGGCCCACGUACUUUCGGCGGCGGAGGAAACGCCGGCGGUAAUUUAUCCAACGCUGCUUCGUCCUACCGGGGCCGAGACUCGUACCAGCAGAGGAGACGGGAAGACAGAGUCGAAAGGCCAGAAAGCAGACAAGAUGGAAACUACAGAGAGCUGGUGGACGAACGUGCUCUCAGAGACAUCAUGGAGAUGGGCUUCAACAGAGAGGCUGCUCGACAGGCUUUGAUGGAUAAUAAUAACAACCUUGAAGUGGCACUAAACAGCCUACUGACUGGAUCCUCUGGUAGCAGACCCGCGGCGCCCGAAUAUAACAAGCCGCCACCCAGAGGCAGAGGAAAGGGAAGAGGCAGGUCCAGAAAUCAAGACGAGGAGGAGGGAGCCGGGGGAAGGCCAUCUGGCCCGAGCACUCUGUUUGACUUUCUGGAAUCCAAGAUGGGAGUUUUUUCCAUUGAUGAGCCAAAGAGCCAGGCACCACAGAGACAUCACGAGAACAGAGCCAAUUUCUCCCACUCAGACUAUUUCACCAAAGACUCGCCUCAGUCCAAGUUCUCCUCGCAUAAUGAUCACAGGCAGCAAAGGAACGACAGGCCGCCUCGCUUCCACAGGGACACGGAUUUCCCCAAACCCGGCCAGGAGCCUCUCUCCAACCCCGCAACCUCCCAACCGUCGGCCCAGUCCCAGCAGUGGAAGGGCCAGGAGAGGUGGUCGCGAGGGGCACCGGACAGGUCGCAGAAUGACAGGAGAGACGUGCGAGACGAGCAGGCUUUUCCUUCGCCCUUCGCGGCUACUUUCACGCAUUCAAAAGAACCUCAGCAGCCGAUGGAGUUCAGCGGGUCUUACCACCAGCGACCCAGAAACGGGGACGCCGGUGGGAACGCGUCCGGGCCGCCUCAGAGGAGAGGGGUGAAAGAUGGCGCGCCCACGUCCAGAGUGGGUAAUUCUGCGGGGAGCGAAGCGGACGGGAGAGGAAGUCAUAAACGCACGGAGAGAAAUGAAGAAUUCAACAACGGCAGGAGGAAGGGGAAGGUUGAUCGGCCGAACUCGGAUCACUUCGAUCGACAGAGGGACGGCGGGCAGGCGAACUUCAAAUCGAGGGGAGGAAGCUCGGAGGCUUCGCAGGAAGCGGGGUUGCCGCAGGGUUCCCGGAUAACGACGGGCGAUCCCGCUCAUUUCCAGAACGGAGAUGUGGUGGAACACAAAAGGACUGGGCCCAUCAAGCCGAGCUCGUCCUGUCCGCCCAGCCGGGAGCCUCCCCCCAGGCGGAACACCCCCACCAACAACCCGGGUCCUAAAAGAAGGCCGGGACAAGGCAAAGGUCAAGGGCCGCGAGGAUCCGAGAAAGGUCACGGCGUGGAACGUGGUUGGAAACCUGGAGACCGGUGCUUGGCUCUGUACUGGGAAGAUGGAAAGUUUUACCAUGCCAGAAUAGAUGCUGUGCAUCCGUCAGGCUCCACGGCUGUGGUUGUAUUUAGUGAUUAUGGAAACUGUGAAGAGGUCCUCCUGCAUAACAUCAAACCUGUGUCACCCGAUGUGUUGUAACACAUCACAAAACUAUCAAAUGCACGUUGGCAGGAGGAAGAUGAUGGUUACUAUGACAGUUCAUUAGAGUUUCGCCGUGGGGGAGAUGGGCAACCAAGACGCACGAGACCAACGCAGCAGUACUACCAGCCACCCAGGGCGCGGGAUUGAUGCGUCUGGUUUACAGUGUGCUUGUCCAUGAUCCCUCCACUUUCCGCAACAAUCCAGAGUGCUUCCUGAAGUGUCCUCCUCGCCGGGACGUACUGAACUAAUUCAAAGGGCUUGCGAAUCAUGCAAAAAUGCAAGAAAAACUGACAUGAGUUCAAGGACAUAUCGACUGUAUAUGUUGUGAAGAUUUGUUUAAUGGAUGCUGAAAAAUGAAGAUUUGUUUAAUGGAUGCUGACAAAAUAAACAUAAUACUGUUAGUAUGUA